CCGAUACGGUGAUGAGAACAUAGUUCAGCAGACUUGACAGUGAUGAGCAACAUUGUCUUUCGCUCCUAUCUGACGUAUCUG
ensembl:snoRNA